ACGACGGGACGCUGGCUCGGCGGCUCCUUCCGGCGAUCUGGGGACGCCGGGCCGCGGAGCUCACGCCCGGGCUCCGUCAGAAGGCCGCGCCCGCGUGCUGCUGGCGUUCUCGCCUCCGGGGCCGGGGAGCCUUGGGGUCCUGGGUGUUGGCGGGAGGAGGGGGCGCCUACGUGUUGCUCCCGGCGGCGGCGAUUCAGCCCGUUUUUAAAAUCUGUCAGUGCGCCCCUUCCUGUGGCCGCUCCGGUUUGCCUGGGGACACCGCAGGGAGCUCGAGCCAGAUCCAGAUUUGUGCAGUGACAGCUCAGCCUAAGCCCACAAGGGAGGGAAACGCAGAGCUACGUCCUUAGUUGGGCUGCGGGGCUGCCUCUGCUUUUCCAAACCCUUCCGCCUUCCUGCUUCUCAACACCACCACAGGCAGUAAAGAACCGGGCAAAGGGACGAGCAGGAGCUGGAAUCUGAAUUGGCAGAAGUUUGGGGUUGUCCUUUUGGACCGUGAUAAUGUUACCGGGCUGGUGUCGUUAACGUGUGGCAUUUUCCGAAGCCCAUGCUUAGCCUCUUAGGAGGAAUGUGAAGCCCUAUUCUUUUAAUAGAUAUAUCAGUAAACCGUCAUGAAUGCCUGUGUUUUACAGAUUCAGAAAAAAAGAUCGCAGAUUAUCACGUGUCCAAACAAGACUUGGAACUGACCUCGAGGCAGAAGGUAACUGUUUAAACUUGAAAAUCAAAGCUCGUGUGCCCUCCCAUUUUGCCAAGAGACUGACCUUUCACCCUGGGCUGGAAGGGCUCGGGGAGAAGGCUUCAUGUUGCUGAAAUAAGGAAGGAGAAGGAAUAACGGGAUUAACCUUCCCCAGGCUGGUCGAAGCACACACGGAAGUCUAUGAAGUUUAUUAGAAAAAUACGCUGAACACUUGUGGCAGACUGUUAUUUUCAAAUGAGUUAAUGUGAAAGUAUUUUCUAAACUGUAAAAGAUUAUAUAAUAUGUAUUUCUAUCCCACGUAUAUGUUAUGUUUUUACUCGACAUUCGCCUCUGUACUGCCCACAACUAAUACAUUAAUUGUUAUUGAUAAGGCACUUACAGAGCAAACCCUUUUCCAUCUUCUUAGACACAAGCUUUAUUUUCAGGCAAUAUGAGACACAGUCUCAAUGACACAGGAUGAUAAAAGUGGAUUGUUUUGUUUUUGAGAAUUUACUUUAAAGCUCUUUAUUAGUGGCAUGCGCCAUGCCCCUCUUCCUGGAAUUCUUACAUAGAGUCUUUUCAUUAAUAUAGUAGGCUCUACUGCUUAUUUAGACAGGUUGUUCAGAAAUCUUUGUACUCCCCUGCAGUUUAUAAUUCCAUCACUGGACUGGAGAACUUAAUUACUCCUAAAGAAAAUAAGCAGUGGUAGAGACAUAAUCAUGUAAGAAUGCCCUUCACUAAUCUUAAACAUAGCAAUCGUGCUUGUCCUAGUCAUUUGUGACCGCUAAUUCCUCCUCAUUCACCUCACCUUUAAAUUAACAUUCCCACAAUCAUGGCUUCUUUGACCCCCACCAAGACCUCCAAUCCACAGAUUCUUUUACUUUCUUUAAAUCAGUUCCCACCUGCAUACUUCAAAACCCCCUCUUGAAAUGCAUGAGCUAACUUGAAGUUUCCCCUUGUAGACAUGCUUGAUUCUCCACUUACAUUUUUCACCUAGCAUAGUCUGAGACUGCUGUGCUACACAGGAGCAGCUGCUUAUCACUAGAGAUGCGCAUGUAUAACAGGGCUAUGGAGCUCCUUUCACAUGUACAGCUGCAAAACUCAGGUCCUUGACAUGCACGAAAGAGGAAGAAUAGAAAGGAAGUGGGGAAUGGAAGACACGGGAAAGAAAGGGAGAGAGAAAGAAGGAAAGGAAAGAGGGAGGAAAGAAGGGAGGGAGAAAAAGACAAGUUUCUGACAAGCUUUUUGGUUGUACAAUAAUUAGUUAAGUCUUCCAAAGCAUAUGGACCCUUUUGCUCAGAGUGCAGUGAUUUAAAAUGUACUUACUUUCUUUGACUUUUCUUCCCACCAAAAGAUAGAAUCUAAUUCCCCUCCCCUUGAAAGUGGGCAGGACUUAGUGGCCUGUUUCAAAUGACUAGAAUGUGGUGGAGCUGACAGGGCAUGACUUUUGAAACCAGCAUAGAGCUGUUUAACAAAAAUGCGUGGAAUGUUUUAAUAUCUCAGUAUGCCUCCCAAAAUGUCUUUUUUGGAAAAUCACGUGCAAUAAAUAAAUUUCAUUAGUUCCUUAUUGUGACUGUAAAGAGAUACACAAUUUUAAGUAAAAGUAGCUUUUUUUAUUAAUGUUAUUUGUAUUGACAAAAUACUUACAUGUUUGUCAGGUAAUGUGAUGAUUUCAAGUCCAUGUCAUGGGUAAUGAUCAAAUCAAGGAUACUCAUUGUUUCUUUAUGACGUACACUCAAAAUCCACCCUUCUAUUUUGAGAUAUACAAUACAUUCUCAUGAACUCUGUUUACCCUGAUGUGCUGUAGAACUCCAGAAUGUAUUCUUCCUGUGUACCUUUAUGACUAUACCUGUUGACCAACCACCCUCUUCUUCCUCCCCUCAUCUGUCAUCUCUAUAGUUCUAUUCUAAAAUUUUAAUAGACCAAUUGUUUUUUUUUUAGAUUGCAAAGAUUGUGGCCACAUGGUGUUUAUUUGUCUAGACCUGCACACUUUUUAAGACGGUAUGUUUCUGUUAGCUGGGUGUGGUGGUACAGGUCUGUAAUCCCAGCACUCUGGAAAACUGAGGCAGGAGGAUCACAAGUAGAUGCUUGGCUUGCACAAGGUAGCAACUUAGUGAGACCUUGUUUCAAGAUAAAAAAUAGAAAAGGUGUUGAAGGUGUUGCUCAGUAGGAAGGCCCUGAGUUCAAGCCCCGAUAUCAAAAAUAAAUUAAUAAGAAUGUAUCUAUCUCUUGUUUCCCUUUCUUAAUAUUAAAAAGUUAACUGCUCUGCCCAAUUAUGUGAUUGAGAGAAAGACUCUAGUCUGGUUCUCAACAUAUAACAUAACAAAAGGAAGUCACGCCCAAUUGUGUAGAAAGUUUAGAUCUACAUCUCCUACUUCCUUACGCUAUAUCAUAUCAUAUAUAAAUGGGUGAAGUCUCCAAUGUCGAGGUCCUCUCUAUAAUAGAACCUUACAAUUUCCCUUGCUGCAGUCAACCCAGUUGCAGCAACAAGAAGGCCAAUCUGGAAAAACACAGUGGCAGGAUUUACAGUGGUACAGUAAAGCAGGCGCUAAAACACAUACAGCGGCCCCCUGGACCAUCCGGUCGUCCGUCAGAGUCAUUCAACUUUGAACAGACUUUGCAGCAUGCACCCAGAAGAGUGACGGCUAUCACUGAUUUUAAUGAUUUUGGCUAAGCAAGAUGGGCUACACCCGGGCUUAGAAUUACUAUAAUCAUCUAUCACCCCACAUUUGCAAAGGAUUUUCAGUCACAGUGAUUUUUGUUGGCCUGUUAUCUAUUUGCUGGUGAUCUCCAAGGCCAGCAUAGAUCUCUUCUGAAUAUUAAACCUGACUCUUCAACAGUCUGUAUUGAGCGAAUCCAUUUAGAUCUCUCAGGUUCAGUGCAAAACGUCUCAUCUUGAAGUAGAAUGCAUCAUCUCCCCUCUCUGUACACCAUUCCUUCCCUUUCCUACAAACUUCUAGGAUGCUAUCCAAGCGGCUGCCACCACCACGCCCAAAUCAGAAAUCUGAAGACCGGCUUUAUCUGUUCACUUUUUGCUUCUACUCAUAUCCAAGUAAUGAGCCCAUCUGAUAAAUUCUAUCUCACUACACUCCAUUUUUUGUACCACUUCUUUUUAACCCAGAUGACUAACUCUCCUCUCUCCUUUUGAUCUCACAUCCCUCCAACUCAUUCUCCACUUUGUAAUCAAAAUAAUCUGGCUGAGCCAGACCUGGUGGUGUGUGCCUAUAAUGCUAGCACUAGCGAGACUGAGGCAGGAAGAUUGCUGUGAGUUGAGGGCCACCCUGGCCUACGGGGUAAGUUCAAAGCCAGCCUAGACUGCAGAGUAAGACCCUGUCUCCAAACAAAAUAAGAUCAAAAAAAGAAUAUAUGUUGUUAAAGCACAAAUCUGAUCUUCACUACUCUGCUUAAAAUUCUCUCCGAGCUCCCUAUUUCCAGGACACACACCCAAACUCCUUAUUGUGAUGUUUCAAGGAUUCCGUGUGCUCUUAUCCCAGAUAUGGUCCUAUUCUCAUUUCUUGACAUUAUUUCUUUACACUGUGCACGUCAGGCAUGCUGAAUUACCACAGUGUUCUGAACUCAUCGCAGUCUCUCCCUCACCCUGAACCAUUAUAUAUGAGAGGGGUGAUCAGAUAGUAUAGUGAAUGUUAAAAUAAAAAAGAACUAAUCACAGUAAAAGAUGCAUUGCCGAGAAUGGUGGGGCAAGCAGGUUCAAAGCGAGGGAGGAUAAAGCAAGAGGAAUUAAUGACAAUGUACUUUCAUUGUAAUAAUUAUUUAAAUAUUCACCUAAUUCUUUGAUCACCCUUUGCUGAUAAAACAUUUACAGAAAUUUCUGUCUAAUGAAAAUGUUAUGGUGUGUCCUGGUCUGCCUUAUUCGUGGGAAGUGAUACUGUGUGAUUUGUGCUCUUCCCCUUAGUCAAUUUCAGGACCCCUCCACAGUCUAACUAAAGACACAAAGGACGACUCCGGAACUGUUUCAGAAAGUAGCCAGAACAAUGGCUAAGUACAUUCUAGCUGAGGGAAACUGUUUUGAGAAGGAUUAUUGGCAAUGUAUCUUUACUGUCAUCCUUAAAAAUUGUUACUCAUCCUAUUUUUGAUCAUACCACAUAUGCCAUUUCCAUAUGCUGGAGCAUUCCUGCAUUCAGCCUCUCUUUACCAGGCUAAGUGUUACUCAUCCCCAAGCCUUCCAGUCCCAAGCUAAGCUACAUGGUCUAGGUACACUUACAUUAGCUACUCAACCCUAUUAUAAAAUAGAAAAGGCCUUGGAUCACAGACACAAAACAUUGACCACACAAGGAGUUCGUCACUGUGGUUCAACAUGCAACCGCCUCUUCCUCUUCAUCCAAAAGCGUCCUCCCAGCAGUGUUUGAUGGCAAAUAUUAUCCUUCAAGUUUGAAUCUCAUGUAAUUUUGUCUUUAAAGAACGAAGGCACUGGUGCCAUUUUUGCAGCCAUGAGAAUUUUAAGGCCCAUUAUAAAUUAGUGAAAUGGCCAUUCAAUCUAUAAAACUGGACACAGCGAGACUGCCAAGAGAAGACCUUAGUUUCAGCAUGCUGACAAAAACUCAGGUUUUGAGCCUACAAAAUUAAGACUCCCAAGACUGCACUGUAGUAAAUUUUCCAAUGUCAGUGAACUUCCUGAAGGCUCUUGAUAGCCAGCCAGCUGGCCCUCACAGGUGACAUAAUUAGAAUGAUGAGCUGCACAGAACUUAGAGCCACAGCAUUUGCAUCCCUCCUAGUGAGUGGAAACUCAGCAGUGGGAGACACCAGAAUCCGUCUAGUUCAAACAGUAUAUUGCGUACAGCCAGGGAUUACUUAAAAUAACCUGAAAUUUUAAAUUAGUAUAUUGUAGUUAGGGCUCAAAUACUCAAAUGACCUUUGUAAAAUGCUGAUCUGAAAGUGUCUUGCCAGCGCACAGCCCAGAGGAUGGAGAUGAUAAUACAUUUAAGGUACCAUGGUUAUUUUUAAUAGUUAAAUUAUUGUUUUGUACAAAGAUAUUCUGGGUGAAAGAACCCCUCCCCCCUUUUCUGUAUCUAUUAUACUAAGAGUGAGAGUUUUGUUUAUUAAAGGAGAAAACUCUACUUUAUAACGCAUGCUAAUAAUCCCUUUUUUUAUUUUUCUGUGAUGGCACAAACCUGUUAAGCCCAGCACUCAGGAGGAUGAGGCAGGAGGAGCGCCCAGCCUGAAGUGAGUUCGAGCCCAGCCUGAAGUGCAUGCUUUUUGGAACAUCACUCUGGCCUUCUGAUGACAUAACUAGGAGCUUGACAAGGAUUCCAGAAGAAGUUACAGGGUUAACUUGCUCUUCUACUGCUUUCUGCUUGGGCUAAGACAAGGAUGCUACUUGAAGCCACUUAGAGGUCUGUUGGUCAGCCAGCCCUAAUUAAAGGUAAAUACCUGUACACUCACUCUAGAGCAAAAGGAAAAAACUAUACUCAGGGCUGGGGAUUUAGCUCAGCAGUAUAAGCGCCUGCCUGGCAAGCAAAAGAUCAUGAGUUUGAUCCCAGGUACAAAAAAAAAAUUUUUUUAAAGUAUACUUAGAACAUUUUAAAAUCGAAACAACUGCUAGACUCAUUACAGAAAGGAAUGAGUAAUAUGAAAAAUACAUUUAAAAGUUGUAAACAUAUAAUUUUUGUAGGGGAAGAUUUUAUAUGAUAAAAUCUCCUACCAAGAUAAGGAAAAAAGGGUAUUGGCAAAACUAAAAGGUUCAAGUGUGUCAAGAAAGGUUUAUGUAGGAUAAAAUUUAUUUUUAAAAUGUCUGGUUGUUUUAAGAUUUUUACUCUUAUUGGUUUAGUUGAGCCUGGUCUGUUAUGUUCCUUCUGAACCUCCUUGUUGCUCAGAGGUGGCCACAGGGCUGUAACACUGACUCUCAAAUCUACAGUCAGGCUGAACGUGGAGGCUCGUACCUGUAAUCCCAACCUUCAGGAGAAUGAGGCAGGAGGAUUGCCAUGGGUUUGAGGCAAGCUUGGGCUACAUAAGCAAGUUCAAGGCCAGCCUGUAGUACACAGUGAAGCCUUUUCUCAAAAAAAAAACAGAAAUCUUCAAUCACUGCUCCCCAGGUCCCAAGUCCCUUCUAUAGUCUGACUGUCAGCAGUGGGCCUUCUUUAUUGCCUCCUGUGCUGGGGAUGCAAACACAAGGGAUACUGACACUGAGUGAAAUGUCCUGUCUUCUUAGCUGGAGGUGAUGUAAGGGUGCACAUCCUAGAAACAGCCUGACAUGCAGAUGACCACCUAGGUCUAGUUGAAAGCUCUGGUUUGGUUCAGGUUUGAUGGUAAAUGUAGUUCUAAAAACAUAAACAUGUUACAUAGCUGUAUGCCUAGCUUCAUAGGUGCCAGGACUGUCUCACCUUAGACUUGACUGGCCUUUGGCACAUAACAGAGGGUUUUAAAAACCUUGAUUUUCAAUUUUACUUACAGAGGUAUUUCAGUUCUUCUUGAUAAAGGGAAUCCAACUUUUGACCACAAACAAAGGACUUCAUGGACACAAGAGAAGGCAAAAUGUGUGUUGAUUAAAAUGACUGCUCUGGGGGCUGGGGAUUUAGCUCAGCGGCAUAAGCACCUGCCUUGCAAGCAAGCAGUCAUGAGUUCGAUCCCCAGUACUGAUAAAAAGGAAAAAGACCAAAAAAAAAAAAAAAAAUGACUGCUCUGAUAGCUCACCCCAUCUUGAUCCCAGUUUGUAGGUGCUAGCACCUAGGAUCUCAUAGUGGCUAAGUGAUGCCUUGGUGGGCAGUACUUCAACUGAGAAAAUAAGAGAUCCUUUUUCUCCCUCUGAUGUUUUUCAAAAAAAUAAAAACAAAGAGAAAGAAAAUAAAAGAAAAGAAAAAAAUCUUGGUCUCAGGUCUCAUCACUCCUUAAAAACUAGGACUACUAGCACCCCUCAGAAACUAGGACUCCUUUGACUCUCAGACCCCUCAAAAUCACCACUAACUUUUUGCACCCACACUGGCACUCUAUCCAGAGACAAAAUGAGAAGAGGGCCUCAACCCCAGUUCUACAAUUAGAAAAAUAGUCCCUUAAAACAUCUCUAAUUCUCUAACCCUAAUGGCACAGGGCUCUUCCUGGGCUUCUUAGAUUCUGUGUCUAUACUGUCUCCUUCCAGUAUAUAUGGGACUACAAUGAAAAAGGUACAAGCUCCUCACUGAGAACAAACUAAUGGUGUCUACAAAUACUCUCUCUUAGCUGGGGACUUAGAUCAGUGUUGUAAGCGCCUGCCUGGCAAGCGUACAGUCAUGAGUUCAAUCCCUGGUACCAAAAACAGAUAAACUCGAAAACCUCUCCUAUUUCUCCUUUUGUUUAAAAAAUACUAUAGCUGUAUGAAAACAUUUGAUCUAUGUUAAACUAAAGGACUCCAAAAAUUGUACCCAGGAUUAUCUCUCUCCCAAUAUUUGGGCCUUGUACUCAAUAAGACCUUGUCUUCCUGUUUUCUCUUUUCACUUUUAUCUCCCAAAACAUUACAUGUUCAACCCCCCCCCCCACCAUCAAAGCCUUCCCUCUGUACACAAAUGACAGGUUUUCUGGGGCCAAACCUUCCUCCAUAAGCCCAUGGACACCCUGGGACCCCAGUAUCUCCCCCACCUUUAAGUUUGCCCAGGUACAGUGCAAAACCACUGUCUCUCUCUCUCAGAAGAACUGACCUCUAUUUCCUCUGUAGGAAACUCUUACAUCAUAUUUACCCUUUCUCAUAGAAAGGAGGAUGUACUGUCACCAGCAACUCCCUGACAUUAGAUUCUUUAGCUAAUCUACCUCCCCAACAUCUAAACCCAUCUCUAAUCUGGCUCCUUCCCAGAAAAGUCACUCAGUCUAGAUUCAAGAGGUCCCUCCUUAAAUCCUUAUGGGGGGAGCCUGGACUCUUACAGGAAACUUUAUACAGUACUGACACUCUUGCUGCUCCUCUGCAUUCUCCUCGGAUCACUCAGUCUCUUUGUUUGCUUUGUUUCCUCUCAACUAGAGGCUAUUAAAUUUCUGAUGGCCAUGCAGUCAGAACCCACCAGGGAGAUCCCACCUGACUUCUAUCACAGGACCUGUACUUUUAAAUAUUAUACUCCUGCAGUGUUUUAAUGUGAAAGAUUGAUAACGUUUGACAUUCUAGGAACUAGAACAAUUCUGUAUGUUUAAAGUAUUAUAAAGAGAUAAUAAAUGUGAAUGUAAGAAAAAUAGUUCCAAAUUACUUGCCAAAGGGUUAGCAAAACACUUUCAGUUCUGCAGAGCUGAUUUCCAACUUAGUAUACUGAUUUCCAACUUUAAUAUAACAAGACAAACUAUAACAUAACAGUCAUUUAAAAUGGAAAGGAAAUCUGAUUAGGUUAAUACUGUCACUUACUUGUUGCUUUGCUAAAUGGCUUGGGCUGGGUGCUUUGCUAAAUGUUUACACCCAUAUCUUAUUAAGUUUUGACUGUAACAAUAGGAAGCAUUGCCAUUAUGUUCACUUAGCAGAAAAUGGGGUUUGUAAGAAUUGAGUGACCUGUCUAAGGUCACACAGCAGACAAAAGAUGUACCCAGCAUUUUACUAGGUUAACUUCAUUACAUUCUCAGCAGUGAGAAGAGUCUUACAGCUAUGAAAAAUGUUCAGUCCGGUCUAAAUAAAACUUUAUUUUCUUACCCAAUUCAAACUGCCUGUGCUCUGCUCCCUGAUUUGUCCCUCUCCUACUACAGCUGGCAAACAGGGACAAGAACAGAGGACAUGGAACAUGGUCAGACAUUUUAUUCCCUUUCUUGGUCAAUCUCUGCUGUUUCUUUGCUCCAUGUGAGACAGGUUAGGGUGGGGGGAAACCAGCUGAGCAAUGGGGCAGGACCUGUGGAUCAGGGACACUCAGAUCACAGGCCCAGAAUACAAUUCCCAAAGGCUGCACCUGGGGUCAAUCAGAAAGUCCUGUCUUCAGUUCUUCAUUUAUAUCUGGCUUGAAACUGAGCAGACCAUUGAUAGGACAGUUUAGGUUUGAUGUCAGGCCAAUGAGCUUCUGACAGGACAGUGGUCCCCAAUGCUUUAUUUGCAGAGGAGAAAAGUAAUCUAGGACAAGGGGGUGUAAAAACUCCUGGCGUUUAACCCUGUGGCUGCUGGAAGACUUUUCUCACUGGCCUGCUCUGACUCUGAAGAAUGUAUAUCUUUUUUGCCCUCAGUAAAUGUAAAUCCUCACUCACUACCUUUUUUAGGUAUCUUAUCCAGUUCUUUGCUCAGGACACCAAAAAUCUGAAGAGAGUUUCUCUGGGACCCAAGAGGCCCGAAACACAUGGCAGACAUUGCACACCCUUGCCUGGCCGAUUGGUGGAAGGAUAACUCAUUCCUAUGGCAGACUUCCCUCCUUGCCUUCAUGCAAGGGGUGGCUUUAGGCUGCCCUGGUCUGAAGAUUUUCUAGACCCUUCAAGCUGCAGUGAGACCCUUGUCAGGUUCACCCCAAAACUCACUUGCCUUCUACCUCUAUAGUAACACAGGCAGCAAUCUUACACAUCCCUCCAGCCCCGUAAGCAUCUGGCCAUGGAGUAAAGCCCAGCAUCCUUUCAGGCUCGCGCCCCAAGUUUACUAACUGCUUCCUUUCACUUGUCCUGGUCCCUUGUGGAAAAGGGAAGGGAUGCUACCAUGCUUCCUCUUCUUGCGAAGGGUCCCUGGAGAUGCCUCCGCCUUGAUGAAUCUCUGGCCUUACCCGUGAUAGGCUGUUGGGAGUGAUGGUUGCUGGUCAGAAAAAUGAGCUCUACAGACGUUGAGUCCCUCUUUAAAAUGUGGGGCAGCUUCUCACCCAUCGGUGCCACGGCUAGAUUUAUUCUAAAACGUUAGAUAACAGGAACAUCCUAAUCUAGAUCCAUACAAAAAUUUUUAAGAUUUAUUCUUUAAAAAGUAGUGUUGCUAAUAUAUAGGAUUUUUUGUGUAUUUUAAAAUGAAUAAUUUGGAGAAAUUCACAUUUAAAUACUCGCUGGACAUUUUUUUUUUCUUGUAUUAGCAGAGUUAAGUAAACAUCACACACAACAGCUAACAAAUUCUUGUCUCAUUCCUUCAAGAAGGCUGGAGUGGGCUAUCAAAUACUACCUCUAACAGAAGUAAGAAUGAAAAUAUUUCUAAAAACAGCAGAAGAUAAGGAGACAGAAAUAUAUCAACUAAAUUAUUUACAAAUCAAUGGAAAAAUGAAGAUACCAUCUUCUUUAGCAUUUCAGUAUUUGAAUUUAGAUCUGUCUACUUGUUUAUUUCCCAUGUUUUAUUGACUACAGCCUGUUCCAUUGUAAUUGAUGUGUGGAAGUCUGCGUAUAUUUUUUAAUUAAUGGACUUAAUUACAAUU